GACGAACGCUGGCGGCGUGCUUAACACAUGCAAGUCGAGCGGUAAGGCCCUUUCGGGGGUACACGAGCGGCGAACGGGUGAGUAACACGUGGGUGACCUGCCCUCAGCUCUGGGAUAAGCCUGGGAAACCGGGUCUAAUACUGGAUAUGACUCCAUGACGCAUGUUGUGGGGUGGAAAGCCUUGUGCGGCUGAGGAUGGGCCCCGCGGCCUAUCAGCUUGUUGGUGGGGGACUGGCCUACCAAGGCGACGACGGGUAGCCGGCCUGAGAGGGCGACCGGCCACACUGGGACUGAGACACGGCCCAGACUCCUACGGGAGGCAGCAGUGGGGAAUCUUGCGCAAUGGGCGAAAGCCUGACGCAGCGACG
rnacentral:rRNA from 1 species